rnacentral:tRNA from 1 species
ACCUGGGUGGCUCAGUCGGUUGAGCAUCUGACUGGCUCAGGUCAUGAUCUCACAGUUUGUGGGUUCGAGUCCCACAUCGGGCU